UUUUUUGAUUAUAAUUUAAAAUUAAUUCUGCCCUAUGAAUUUUAAAUGGCUGCAGUAUUCUGACUGUACUAAGGUAGCAUAAUAAUUUGCUUUUUAAAUGAAAGCUUGGAUGAAUGGAAUCAUGAGGUUUAGACUUUAUUAAUUAAAUUUUUUGAAUUUGAAUUUUCUAUAAAAAUGUAGAAAUUUUUAAGCGGGACGAGAAGACCCUAUAGAAUUUUAUAAUAAGAAUUUUUUUUUGUUGAAUUUUUUUUCUUUAGAAUUUUUUUUUUAUUUUUUUGGGAGGGAAUUUAAAUUUGUUUAACUUUAAUUUUUUUUCCAUCUAUUUUUGAUUUAUUUGUUUUUAUUUUUUUAAUUUGUAGAUUAAAUUACCUUAGGGAUAACAGCAUAAUAAUUUUGGAUA
rnacentral:rRNA from 1 species